rnacentral:rRNA from 1 species
CAGCCGCCGCGGUAAUACGUAGGGUGCAAGCGUUAAUCGGAAUUACUGGGCGUAAAGCGUGCGCAGGCGGUUCUGUAAGACAGAGGUGAAAUCCCCGGGCUCAACCUGGGAACUGCCUUUGUGACUGCAUAGCUAGAGUACGGUAGAGGGGGAUGGAAUUCCGCGUGUAGCAGUGAAAUGCGUAGAUAUGCGGAGGAACACCGAUGGCGAAGGCAAUCCCCUGGACCUGUACUGACGCUCAUGCACGAAAGCGUGGGGAGCAAACAGGAUUAGAUACCCUGGUAGUCCACGCCCUAAACGAUGUCAACUGGUUGUUGGGUCUUCACUGACUCAGUAACGAAGCUAACGCGUGAAGUUGACCGCCUGGGGAGUACGGCCGCAAGGUUGAAACUUAAAGGAAUUGGCGAG